rnacentral:rRNA from 1 species
UUAGUAACGGCGAGUGAAAAGGGAUGAGCCCAGCGCUGAAUCUCUCGGUCUAAGGCCGCUGAGAACUGUAGCGUAUAGGUUUGACUGUCUGUUUGCUAUGUAUUCUCCAAGUUCCUUUGAUAGGGGCUAGUUCAGUCCCGAGAGGGUGCUAGACCUGUGCGAGAAUUGUAGUGAGCAGUUGGUUGUUCCUUGGAGUCGUGUUGCUUGAAAGUGCAGCAUAAAGUAGGUGAUAGACUUCAUCUAAGGCUAAAUAUAACCAUGAAUUCGAUAGCUAACAAGUACCGCGAGGGAAAGUUGCAAAGAACUUUGAAGAGAGAGUUCAAGAGAACGUGAAAUCGCUGGAGUAUGCGGAGAGAGUUGACGUAACCCGGUAGCUAAGUUGUUCUUCGGAGCGAUGGUGCUGCUUAUGGUUGCAUUGGUGGCGUUGGUUAGCAACGACAGCUGCGUAGUUUAGCCCACUUCGGUGGUGUCUAGCUUGUGGUCUUGUUGUUGUCGGCUAGCGUGUAAGCCCUGUUCACAGGGUGCCA